rnacentral:rRNA from 1 species
UACGUAGGGUGCAAGCGUUAAUCGGAAUUACUGGGCGUAAAGCGUGCGCAGGCGGUUUUGUAAGUUUGUCGUGAAAUCCCCGGGCUCAACCUGGGAAUUGCGAUGAAGACUGCAAGGCUAGAAUCUGGCAGAGGGGGUUAGAAUUCCACGUGUAGCAGUGAAAUGCGUAGAGAUGUGGAGGAACACCGAUGGCGAAGGCAGCCCCCUGGGUCAAGAUUGACGCUCAUGCACGAAAGCGUGGGGAGCGAACAGG